rnacentral:rRNA from 1 species
UCGGGAAUUUUGGGCAAUGGGCGAAAGCCUGACCCAGCAACGCCGCGUGAGGGAUGAAGUAUUUCGGUAUGUAAACCUCGAAAGAAUGGGAAGAAUAAAUGACGGUACCAUUUAUAAGCUCCGGCUAACUACGUGCCAGCAGCCGCGGUAAUACGUAGGGAGCAAGCGUUGUUCGGAUUUACUGGGCGUAAAGGGCGCGUAGGCGGCGCGGUAAGUCACUUGUGAAAUCUCUGAGCUUAACUCAGAACGGCCAAGUGAUACUGCUGUGCUAGAGUGCGGAAGAGGCAACCGGAAUUCUUGGUGUAGCGGUGAAAUGCGUAGAUAUCAAGGGGAACACCUGAGGCGAAGGCGGGUUGCUGGGCCGACACUGACGCUGAUGCGCGAAAGCCAGGGGAGCAAACG